rnacentral:tRNA from 1 species
GGCCCAGUAGCUCAAUGGACUAGAGCAAUCCCGUCCUAAGGGAUAGGUUGUGAGUUCGACUCUCGCCUGGGCCA